rnacentral:rRNA from 1 species
GGAUUAGAUACCCUGGUAGUCCACGCCGUAAACGAUGUCUACUAGCCGUUGGGAGACUUGAUCUCUUAGUGGCGCAGCUAACGCGAUAAGUAGACCGCCUGGGGAGUACGGCCGCAAGGUUAAAACUCAAAUGAAUUGACGGGGGCCCGCACAAGCGGUGGAGCAUGUGGUUUAAUUCGAAGCAACGCGAAGAACCUUACCUACUCUUGACAUCCAGAGAAUUCGCUAGAGAUAGCUUAGUGCCUUCGGGAACUCUGAGACAGGUGCUGCAUGGCUGUCGUCAGCUCGUGCCG